UAGGGAAUAUUGCACAAUGGGGGAAACCCUGAUGCAGCGACGCCGCGUGAAGGAAGAAGUAUCUCGGUAUGUAAACUUCUAUCAGCAGGGAAGACAAUGACGGUACCUGACUAAGAAGCCCCGGCUAACUACGUGCCAGCAGCCGCGGUAAUACGUAGGGGGCAAGCGUUAUCCGGAUUUACUGGGUGUAAAGGGAGCGUAGACGGAUCUGCAAGUCUGGAGUGAAAGCCCGGGGCCAUCCAGCCGGACUUGCAUUGAACUGUGGAUCUAGAGUGCCGGAGAGGUAAGCGGAAUUCCUAGUGUAGCGGUGAAAUGCGUAGAUAUUAGGAGGAACACCAGUGGCGAAGGCGGCUUACUGGACGGUAACUGACGUUGAGGCUCGAAAGCGUGGGGAUCGAACAGGAUUAGAUACC
rnacentral:rRNA from 1 species